GACGUCAUCCAGCCCCCAAGGCUCCAGGACGCAAAGGGUCCCCUGAUCUGGCAGUCCCUGGACCUACCCUGGAGAGCGUGGGGGGACAAAGGCCGGACGCGCCGCCCGCUGCCGCCUCCAGGAAGCCCUCCCUUGCCAGGACAGUGGAGUUGGCCGGGUGUGGACAGCAGGAAGGGCCGGCGGGAAGGGGGGGUGGAAAGAGCCACUCCUGGUUAAUAACUCUGCGGGGUUAACCUAGGGCCGGCCAUACUCAAGUACGGACUUGAGUAAAAUUCAGCAGGAAAAGGAGCAGGGUGGGCGCCGCUAGAGGGAGGCUUCAGGACUGAGGGUCAGAGGCCCAAGGCCUGGCAGGGCCCUUCCCUGGUCAGCUCCAGGCUUGGCCUGAUGCCCGGUGGGCCACGGGCCUCUUCCAGCCUCAGGCUGACCCCAGAGAAAGAGGACAGCCCACAAGCCCGGGAGGCCGGCUUGCUGCCUGGUCAUUGCUGCAGAGCCUGGAGGGGGCCUGCGCUCAGUCCCCGCUGACCGUCCCCUCCCUUGACCCUGCCAUAGCCAUCUGUGUAACCCAGGGGAAAUUAUUCCAAAGGGACUUCCACUUCUGAUAAUCUAUGAUUCUAUUUUCUAAAAAACAAAACUCUAAAAUGCUUAAUGUCAAACAUCUGUCAUCAGCUGAACAGGAAAAGGAACAGUCCUUCCAAAGUGCCUACGGAAAGCUUUGUCCCAUCCUUGAAAAAUUGCUAAUGGGUUUGGAGAUACGAGGUGGAGAUGACUAGCAAUCAAACUCAAAGGUGGAAGUCACAUCGAGGCAGAUGAGCAGAUGAGGGGACCUAGAGAAGAAGAGAGGUGCAAGGAGAGCCCAGCCAGCAGGAACAUCUGCCCCAGUAGGCAGCACUGCCCCACAUCAGAGUCGAGGAAAGCAAAGCUCGGAUUGGAUAAAAGAAACUUGCAAACACGGAUGAAGGGAAAAGCUUCAUGACAUUGGAUUUGGCAGUGAUUCCUUGGAUAUGACCCCAAAAGCACAGAUAACGAAAGAAAAAAUAGUUAAAUUGUCUUCAUCAAAAUUAAAACUUUUGUACAUCAAAGAACUCUUUCAAAAGAGUGAAAAAGUCACAGAAUAAGAGAAAAUCAUAUACCUGAUAAAGAAUUAAUAUUCAGAGCCAGAUGCAGUGGCUCAUGCCUGUAAUCCCAGCACUUUGGGAGGCCAAGGCAGGCAGAUCACUUGAGAUCAGGAGUUCGAGACAAGCCUGGCUAAAAUGGUGAAACCCCAGCUCUACUAAAAAUACAAAAAUUAGCCAGGCGUGGUGGCGUGCACCUGGAAUCCCAGCUAUUCGGGAGG
rnacentral:lncRNA from 1 species